rnacentral:rRNA from 1 species
AACGAACGCUGGCGGCAGGCUUAACACAUGCAAGUCGAACGCGUCCUUCGGGACGAGUGGCAGACGGGUGAGUAACGCGUGGGAACGUACCCUUUGGUUCGGAACAACUCCGGGAAACUGGAGCUAAUACCGGAUAAGCCCUUCGGGGGAAAGAUUUAUCGCCAGAGGAUCGGCCCGCGUUAGAUUAGCUAGUUGGUGAGGCAAUGGCUCACCAAGGCUACGAUCUAUAGCUGGUCUGAGAGGAUGAUCAGCCACACUGGGACUGAGACACGGCCCAGACUCUUACGGGAGGCAGCAGUGGGGAAUCUUGGACAAUGGGCGAAAGCCUGAUCCAGCCAUGCCGCGUGAAUGAUGAAGGCCCUAGGGUUGUAAAAUUCUUUCGACGGGGAAGAUAAUGACGGUACCCGUAGAAGAAGCUCCGGCUAACUUCGUGCCAGCCGCCGCCGUAAAAC